UUACCUUUUUCAUAUUCUUUACUCCUUUCUUUUUUUUUUUGCAUGAGCCACUCAUUUUACCUAGAGAUGAGAUUUUAUUUUGUUCCCUAAUAAGUUGAAUAAAAUAGAACUAGAAAAUUUAGAAAGCAGCUUCUAUUAUCAAAAUAUCAGAUUGAUUUAAAAAGCCAGGUGUGAAUAGUAUGGUAUAAUUUUUGUAAGAAAGAAUAAGAAAUAAGAAUACACAGAUACUUAUACACAAACACAAUAUGGAUAACACAAAAACUAAAUAAAUAGUUUUAUUAUUAAGGAUGGGUAGCUAUAAAGUAGAAACAAUAAUAAAGGGAAUGAUACUUUUCUAAGUUUACCUUUCAAUAUAGCUUUUAUUUUAAAACUAUAUUAAUAUUUUACAUAAUAAAAACUAAUUUAGUAAGUAUUCAUUCCCAAAAUUGAAUACAUGUAGAAAAACAUGCUCAAAUUUCAGACCAAAUUUAUAAUGUGAACACAAAAAGCAAACCCAUAAUUAAUUCAAGUAAAUUUUAGGUACUGUACUAACCGCAUUUCACCUUCAAUGAGAUAUUUUCUAAAGAAAAAAAGAAACUGUUGUUAGUAGUAAAAUGGUUUUAAAUUAUUUUGUAUGCAUUGUAGGAAGUAAACAAAUGAGCAGGUAUUCUGGUGUUUUGAGGGAAUGGAGCUUUUGUUUUAGGAGAAUAGGAAAAAAAUAUGGAAAGAAAGAGAACUCUGUUGUACUGGAUUAUAACUGGGGGUAUGUGUAUGAACUCAUGACUUUAUGAAAACAUAUUUACUUGCUGGUUACAAUGAAAAAGUUUAGAAGCAAUCACACUCAGUAGCAAUGAAUGUACCUAUUAUCCUGAUCUUGGUUUCUAACUACCAUUUCCCAAAGGAACCAAGGACCCCUGGAAAACUGUUUGAUGUUAAGUAGGGGACAAUGAAGUUCAAGGUGAGCCUGAGCAUUGAGUUGCACCAAAAAGUAAAGCUGUGCUCAAACACUGAUAGGAAAAUGUCAGAAACAAAGAAGUCAGCUUGAAAGAACUUCCAUUGGCCAAAUUUGAGACAAAUGCAAUAUCAAAACAGAUAAUGGCAGGAAUGAAUCCAAUGAUUCAUAGUCAUAGAUUUGCUUUUAAAACUGUGAGUAAGCCCAUAAUGGUACCAAAAACAAAGUUGGUGAAUGGAGAGAAGAAAGGAAACUUCAUCUCUCUAGAAGCAUAGCAAAUCAUAAAUGUAGAAAGAAUGUAAAAUGAUAAAUUUCUAAGUCUGUCAAUCAUAGUUGUAAUAAUUCAAGCAAAACUCAUCAAAGCAUACUAAAACUAUUGUAUAAAAUAUUGGUCUUUAUAAUCAUUUAAUUAAUUAACUAUGUAUUAAUUUCAAAGGGGACAUGGUGCAUUUACAAUGGAGAAAUCUGGCAGCAUCACCUUAACUAAAUGAUUAUACUUACAAUCACCAAGUUUGACAAACCGGCAACAUAUACCACCUGAUGUGAUGCACUAGAAAGGACAUAACAUUCUGCCAAAAAUGUUUAACUUCAUUCUAGUCAUGAAGAAGCAAUUAAAUCCAAAUGGAGAAACAGUCUGCAAAAUAAAUAGUAAGUUACAAUUUUUGUAAGAAAGAAGAAGAACUAAGAAGACACACAUACAUAUACACAAACAUUUGUGAAAGGAAACAAUAUGGAGAACACAAAAGCUAAGAAAUUGUUUAAACAACAAAAGAAACUACACUAGUCAACUAAAGAAAUUUAUUCCUCAAAAACAUCAGUCUUAAAUUGUAAAAAAAAAAAAAAGAAAAAGGCUAGACACAGCUCUAGAUUUAAAAUUACUAGAGACAUGACAACUGAAUGCAAUGCAUAAUUCUUGAUUGAUUUUGCAUUUUCAGAAGUUAUAAUAGACAUUAUUGGGACAAUUUGGGGAAUUUGAAUGUGGAAUGUAUAUUACAUGACAUGGUACAAAUCAAGGUUAAAAUUUCCUGAAAAAGAUCUGCUCUGUUGUGGAUAUGUAGUAGAAUGACCUUGUUCUCAGGAGACGACUUAAUAGUGCACCAAAAUGAGAGAAAGAAAAUGUAACAGAAUACCAACAAUUUGUGAAUCUAGGUAAAUAGUAUCAUGUAUUCAUGGUAUUACUAGAGCAACUUUUCUGUAUGUUUCAAAUUUUUCAAAAUAAAAUGUUGGAUAAAGAAAGGAGAGCGCAAAAAAAAAAUGAAGCUGUAUUGGUUGCAAGCAGAACUGGUUGCCAGAAUGUUGUGAUAGACACCUUCACUUAUCACUUAUUGGGCUGGGCAAGAGCCUGCUAAUAGGCACAUUAAUUAAUUAAUUAGCCUCUGCAGUUCGGCUUUCUUCCCAUCCCCCAGCCUCACCAGGAUGUACUUAGGUACAAUAAUGGAGGAGGAAAAUGGAGAGUGUUCUCUGUAUUACCAUCUCAGAGGGAUAUUCCCGCUUCAAGCACCUCUCCAGAGGACUAAUGGAUGACAAAGCCUUAUUACCAUUCUGGGAUAAGUUCAAUUUUUUUUUAUGAUAGUAAUUUGUUACACCAGUUUGCCACUUGCCUGCUGCUUCCUUGUUAAUCCAAUAAUCUAUAUGAGAAAAGCAAUUUGAUGUCCCUCCUUCCCAUCUGCCACCCAUCAGCCAAUCUAUAUCUUAACUAUCAGUGAUUUAUUAAUGGCAUCUGCAUUAAGCACAUCCCUGCUCCAUUUGCGCCCUCCUUCUUGGCCUCCUGCUUACGUACACUCACUGGAUGUGUUAGAAGGUAAGCUCAGCAUGGAGAUUAAAAGCAACAAUGAAAUAGUAAGCUGAACCACAGUUGCUGGAUUUGCUUCUUUCAAACAAUUAACAUGUAUGCACACCCACACACUAAGCAGAUCCACUUCAGAGCCAGCCAUAAGAAAUGCGAGAAACUAGGAUAUUUUUCAUUAUGCUUUCUACUCAGUGCUUAACUUUAUUUCUUUAGCUGGUUGAAGUUAGUCAUUGACCAUUGUGCGCCAUCUGAAUGCUGCACUUCUCACCCCAACUUCCUGGCUGCCCAUUCACAUGAACUGAGGGUCUGCCUGAGCCCUGGAUCCUGAUUUCUUUCCUGCAGAGACAAAAGGAGCAGGUAGCCAUGGGCUGGAUGAGCUGAUGCAGCUCUGAAGAAAGGACUUUGUUUUUGAAGAUGUGAGCCUGGUCUCUGCAUAUUAGGGCAUUACCUGUGAUUGCUGAGCUUAAUUUUCCUCAGGUCAUUCUGGCCUACCUAGAAGAUCAAUGACUUUACAUGACACUUCCAGAAGAGGGACAUAAUGGAAUUGGGUGGGGAGAAAAUGAUGGCACACAGCAGUGUCGCUGUGUGUUAUCAGUUAAAUAUAGCAUUCACUUAGAUUCUGUGCUAUUCGUUACCUAUUCGAAGCUUGAUACACAUGGCCCAACCUAAAACCUAUGGUAAGAGAAGAAACAUGGACACAGGAUGGAAAUCUCAGGAACCCACUUCUAUUGCUAUUUGCAGGUUCCACAUAGUUGGAGUCCAUGUUGCAUAGUGGUUAGCUCACUGGUAAGUUUAAACUCUGGUUGUGCAAUGUGCUACCUGUCUGCUCUAUAGUAAGUUUGUGAACCUGUUCAAGUCUGUUACUUCUGUUAAAUGAAAUCCCUCUUGGCAUCUCAUAGGGUCAUGAUCAACGGUAAUAAUAAUUAAAUUAUAAAUGGUUGGUCUCCAUUUCUCAUCAAAUGUAAUCUUAUUUUUACUUUGGUAUUGGCUCCCUCCCCCCCUUUUUUUUAAACAACUUUUUUCUUUUACAUUUGUGUCCUGGGUACAUUUGCCGUGCUUUCUUGAUUCUGUUUGCUUUGAGUUGGCUUUUACCUGGCUUGUUUGGCUGUUUUCAAGUUUCCAUCCCCUAAGGGUUCUAAUAUCUCCAUUCUAGACGGUGGCUCUGAACUCUCUCUCUCUGUCUGCUGGAGGUGAGCUGCCAAUAAAUUUAGAGAUGCUUUCCUGAGCUAUUAUGUUUUAAGGAAAGGAAAGUGAACAAAAGGCAAUCAUCCUGACUCUAUAGUCUACAUUCCUUUCCUUCCUUAAAAUCAAGGGUGGCAUUUUAAGUUGUCAUCCUCUCAAACUCACCUAGAAAUGUGUCUGGUAAGACGAGAGUUCUGAACCUGAUGUACUGUAUUCCAUUUCAGAAGUGUCUGCAACUCAUGAUUUUGCACAGCUGUUGUCGAUACAAGUAUUUUACCCUCACAACUAAAUGCCAGUUGCCUAAGGGUAGGAGUUAUCUGAUUAUAUAUCUAUUCCCACCCAUAUAACUCAGCUUGGUGCAUUGUACCCAGUAAGUGCUCAAUAAAUGCUUGUGGAACAAGUGACUAUGGUGUUAACUUUGUGAGCAGGGUAUUAUAUUUUGCUAUGAUUCCUUGUCCUGGAGUUACUUUCCCUCAAAACUCUGUUGUAAAACCUUUUCUGCUGUCCAAGAGUUUCAUUUCUUUCUAAAGAAAUCAUCCCCCUCCAUCUUUUCUUAAUUAACAGCAUUUUCCAGUACUUUUUUUCCCUUCUCUGUGACAGUUUCCCACUAUUGUCUGUUUGCAGCUGUUACAUGGUUAAGAAACUGAGUAGACAUGCUAAUGAGUGAUUGGUGUGUGGGAGGAGCACCUCUAAAUUCUCCUGGACUGGCCAGGCAGCCUGUUCCCACUUACUCUGUCUAAAAUAAGCUCUAGUUGGCAGCCAGGGAUUGGAUUAUUUGCAGUUUCUUUCUGUGGAGGAAGUUCUUGCUUGGACUAGCUAUCUGUGUUUCUAUUUAGGAACAAAUAAACAUGCUGCUACUCUCAAACUCUUCCUGUCUACACUAAACUUCAAAUUCCCUUCUCCACUCUUGCUCAUAGACUUGUCUAAACCACUGGAAACCAGCUUUGGUUUAUGUGUUUAUUUCAGUUAGUCAAUUUAGCAAAUUGUGUGUGUGUGUGUGUCAGGGUAGAGGGGCGGCUACGGUGGAUAGUUGGUCCACAUGCAGUCUCUUGCUACAUUGAUCUUAACUGUAUUCUCUAAAAACUAAGAGACAUUGUGUGACUGAAUGGAUUUUGGUCCUUGCAGUUGUCUUUACAACUCUUAUGACUGAAAUUGAACACCUUCAUGAGGGAAUUUUGAAUACUUUAUGAUUGACUUUUUUUUUUUUCUUCCCAAGAGCUUCGAAAAAAUGAUAUUAGUAGCCUGUUUUCCAAGAGAGGUUACAGAGGUGUCUGGAUUUCCUAGUGUCUGGGAUGAUAAUCUGUGGUACUAAUCUGGGAUUCUCAUUCUGAGUCAUGUAUUUGAGCCAAUAGGUAGGAAUCAAGCUAGUUAAUCCCCCUUCAGUAUGUUUUGCAGCUGUUAGAAUUUCAUGACCGUUACAAAAAGACAUGGAGAAUCUCACUGAUCAGAGAGCAAGCUGGAGGGAACAGGUAGGAGGCCUAGAGAGAAGGAAGGUUUUGAAAUAGACAUAGGGUGGUUGCCAGCUAUUUUGCUAAUAGGGGCAUGGUCUCAAUGGUAGAGACACUUUGAGCUUUCCAACCUAUCCUUAAGAGUAGCCUUCUUUUCCCCUGGAACUUCUAAGGUGACUUUUUUUUUUUUUAAAUCAAAGAAUAGCCUGAAGGGGCCAUGCUGAAAGAAGUGGCUCACAUUAGACUUAAGAUAGCAGGUUAAGUGCUUUCUAUUUUGGUGGCUUUUCAGAACAUAACCACUUUGUCCAUUGAAGACAAGUAGACCAUAUGGAAGAAACUGGAACUGUGAAGUUUCUUUGACAUAUCAUCUACCCUGCUGCUCUCUGAGUACAGAAGAUGGCAUCAGAUGUGGGAUCCGAAGUAGAACUUCUAACGACCCACAGAAGCACGGAGUGACCAAGUGAGGUACCUGCAGGACCCGUUUGUGUUCAUCGAUCUCUCAGAGCAGCUGGGGAUCAUGGUAAGUUCUCUCUCAGAUUUUGGAGCUCCACAGAUUUGUGUUUUGAGCUUUCUGAGUUUCUUUGAACAAAUUUCUGAUCCAAAUUGGAUUUGGAAGUCGCAACAGAAACUGGACUGGCUUUCGGAUUGGAUUUGAUCCAGUAAUUAACUGGCUUGGAUCCAGUUAGAAACCUCUUGCAUCUGACUGGGGGAAGAAAGAAACUGGGAGUAAAUGGUAAUAUUGCAGGGGGUAUAAAAUUUAGCUUUUGGAAACUCGGGGAUUUUGGUGUUCUGUCCGUUCAUUUUAUUUUUCUUGCUUGCUUAGGUAGGAAAAAGUCAUAGGUUAUCUUAAUCAAGGGAAACUGGGAGCAAAGCCAAUAUCUGAGGUGAAAAAUGGGAUCCUUAAUUUCUGAAAAACUGAGUUCCUUCCAGCUUAUACAUGCAUAAGUGUUAGGCCCUAAAAGGAGCAAAGUCUUACAGAAAUGGCAAAAUCUUACUAAAGGUAUCUUAAAAUGGAACAUUCCAAAAGAAAAACAAUGAACUAAAGUGCAUUUGAAAAUAAUUAAUCCCAAAUUAAUCCCAAAUUAAUCUCAUCUAGGGAUGCCUAUUGAUAUGCAGAAGCUUCUAAAAAGAUUUUAGUCUUUUUAUUUAAAGACUGACGAAAGGAAAAUAAAAAGCCUAAGUGACUAAUUGAUUAAAACAAUUCAAUCUGCUAAAUUUUUAGCUUAGUUACUACCCUAAUCCAAAGGUAAUAGACUGAAGCAUCUAUUGGCUGACUUUGGGUAAGUAAUGGUGUACAUUUUACCUUGGUAAAGGGUGGAAUUGGGUUAGAAGCCCUUGCCUCAGUAAAGUCCCUCUUGGUAAAAAAUGGAUUUGACAUUAUGGGAUGUUAACCCCUAUUCUUUUUACAUUAAUCUGCCUUGCGCUCUUUGCUGACAGCAAUGGAUGGCAGGAUUAAGCAUGUACAGGACCACGGAACAUGGAGAAAUUUUUCUCCCCAAAGGGAAAAACUUGAGAGCUGAUGGUACUGCUGGAAAAGAUCCCUUUGCAACCAAUAAGUGGCCGCCUAAACUUUUGAUUCAGUAUCGUCGAAAUGGAUGGGUCUUUCUCUGGCCUCUCUGAGCUCUUCCUUCCCCACCCUGCCACAGGCAAUGCUGCUCUCUCUGUUGCUGUCUCUCUGCGCAAACCAGAUGUGGGAACGGUAAAAGUCAUUAACUUUUGCAAAGUUUUAAUUAAUGGGAAAAAGGAUUCAUGAGACUAGUCUUGAGCUAUAGCGAAUCUGGUAUGCUUUGUGCUAUGAAUUUGUCUUUCUGUGUUGCUCUAUCAUGAAGUGGGAUACCUUAGGAUAGAACCUGAGCUUAGGACCACAAAAGCUUUCUGUUCAAGAUGGCCCAGCAAGCUGGUCAGUAACAAACUUUGCCGUAGAGGUCCCUGAAACAAACAAAAAACUGGAUGAGGUCUCCAUCUUGUUUUAUGUUUUUGGGAGCUUGGCAUUAUAACCACGUGGUGGUACUUUCUGUUUGUUUCUGCCAUCUGGGGAAUAGGAAUUUGGAGAUUCAUUUUAUAGUUAGCUCUAUAAAUUAUCUUGAUCAUUAAAAUCCAUUGCAAGCACAAAAGUGACUGCUCUAGGCUCCUGGGAAGAGCAAUGGAAACUGCCCAGUGCUGUAGCUUAGUAGCUAAGGUUCUGUCUUUUCACAGUGAUGGCCUGGGUUCAGGUUCAAUUUCUGGCAUUAAGAAUGAAUCCUUUCUGGUUUGCUAUCUGCAUGACCUUUAGCAUUUGUUGAUUCUCUUCCCCUCCAUGAACCGUCUUGAAUUUUUCUUUCUGUGAGCUACCUUUGGAGAUUCUAGAUCUUCUAAAAUUGCUAACUACCUCUUUAAAAAUACCUGAUACACUCGUAGUUAAGUUAUAACCUUCAUUGAGGCUUGUCACUUUCACCUGUGAGAUUAGCUUUGGUCAAGUUUAAAAGCCAGAAAUAUUGGUCACUUGGCCCGGCUAAAGUAGAGUAAUAACAAAUUUUAAAAGGCUUUUUUUUUUUUUUUUUCCAGAGAGCACUGUGGUUAAAAGUCAGCUUAAUUAAAAGUGGAUAUCCAAGCUAUACAUACAUUUUUAAGAGAUUUUUAUGUUUUUCUCUUCUUAAAUCUUGUUUUCCUGGGAAAAAGAUUUUUUCUUCUCAUCUGACUGAAUUGUUUUUCUCCAUUAUGUUUUACUACUCUUAAUGCACACAUGAGAGGACUUAAGAUAUCUUCUAUUAGCCUAGGAUCAAACAGAGGAGGGACUAUAGAUCCUGUUUUGGGAAAAACCCCUGUUUUCCUCAUGAAACUCCAGGAAUUGAAGGUGGAUAGAUCCCACUCAAACUCUAAGGCUCUGUUCUGUUUUGCAUUGUGUUAUCUGAUGGUUUUGAGUUUUGAGUGAAUCAGAAAUUACUUUGCGUAAUGAAAGAGCUUUGGUGCAUAUAACCAGGGGGAGGAAAUACACUGUUAACGAUGGCUAUUGAUAGUUAUGAAGGAAUACUUUAUUCUUUGCACCUUUGGAUCAAAGAGGCAUGCUAUGCUCUUGGCUACCUAGAAGCCAUGGAAAUGUCCCCACCCACACUGAGAUAAGACUCCCAUGGGGGAUGGCUUAAUCACAAGGUGGGCUGAUCAACUUUGGGUUGCUUUGCAAUAAAAUGAAUGGUAAAAGCAUUGUACCAUCUUCUCCCAUAGCAUUUCCCUCUUUUUGGGGAUCCAGUAUGCAAUAUAAAAAUGGAACCCUUAAUUUUGGGGAUCUGUUUUUGCCUUCCAGCUGUGCCUGCUUAUUAGGCCCUAUAAAAUACAUGUUUUCCUAGCCCAGUUGCUCUAAGAGUCCACCCUAAAGCCAGUAAGCCAAUUAAGAAGCUUAAAAACUGGCAAAUGAAGAAUCCUAAAACUACUGGAUCUUCUGUGUGCCUUUGGAGCUAUAUAUGUGUUGUAUGUGUUGUAUUUAUAUAAAGAGCUCUAAUUAAUUGGCUUAAAGAAAAAUAGGCACUUAAAUAUUUUGUUAGAAAAAUAAAAACUGUAAUACUUUUUAGUUCACAUGGCUUUAGUAAUCUUUGGGAAAGAAAAAAGAUUAUUGGUAAAAUGAAGACAUUUGGUCUAAAUUAGGCAGGUCAGAUACUAGGUUUGCUAAAUGCUUUAAGGUCAUAAACUGCAUCUUUGGCUUUUGAACAUUGUUCAACUUGUUCAACUCACCUGUUUACAGCUAGGUAAGGCUUGGGGACAUGUGGAAUUAGCCAUGUCCCUAGCUAUGCUGGAAAGAGUCAGACCUUAUUUGUACUUCUGUCUGGUGUCCUAGGCUCUAAACUCAGUACAUACUUAAAGUCACUUGCUAACCAGAUUUUUCACCAAAAGAUGCUAAGAGUUUACAACCUAACAUGUACUUGAAACUACUGAAGAAACAGUUUUACUUGCAAGGUGUAUAAGGAAAAUAAAAUGUACUUUUAGUAACGGAUUAUAAGAAGGCAUGGGAAUGUAAAUUUUUGCUUAGUUUAGAGGGUUCAAGGAUUGUUUUAAAUUAGAUAGGAUAAAACUGAGCAAAUUGUGAAAGAUUUGUGAAAAAUUAAUCCUGUAAAAAAUUCUGUGUAGAACUAGGGCUAAGUUUAAAGAGGUGUUACUCAGUUUUUCUAUAAAUUGAACAUUAGAAUAAAAGCACAACAGGGUUUCCUUUGAGCACUGAUUUCCUCCUUAAAUUUGUAAAGGGUUAUAAAAGGUUUAUGAGAAUCUCAUCUUAUGGUCAAACUGGUUAAGAUUGGAUUGAUUUGUCUGUAAGUUUUUAUUAAAGAUUAAGGUUGACAUUAAUAGUACAUUAAUGCAAGGGUAAAAUUUGUCUUUCUCUCUCGAACAAGAUCUUCAUGUAAUAUUAAAGGAUAAUGAAAUAUUUUUGUUUGCCUUUUGAAUGAACUACCAAAAAAAGAAGGGAAAGAUAAAAGAUCGAUGGUUAGGGAAGCUAAGUCUCCCCUCUGUCAGUGAGCAAAAGGCUUUUUUGCAUUUUUAAAAUUUUUGAGUCAUCAUUUUGACUAAAUGAAUAACUUAUGGUGACCUUGAAUUCUAUUUCAUAAUAUCAAGUGUUUUAAACCUUUAAAUUUGAUAGGCUUCCCAAAAUCAAGUUUCAGCUUUAAAAUUGUCUUUUCUGAUCUCUAACUUUGGAAUGCUACAGAGGACCUCAGAAGCAUCCAAAAGAGAAGUAAACAGGAUUAUUUGACAUGUUAAAUUACAUGGAAAGCAUUGUUAAAAUAAAAAAUAAUGUUUAACUUUCUUCAGGUAUAUGUUAGUGAAUAAUGUUAAUAUAUGUUCCGGAAUUCUAUGAGAUUUCUAAAAUUCUAAUAUGUCUGGCUAUAUGCUAUCAAUCAUAAUAAUGGUUAUUAUGUUAAAUUAUUGUAAGCCACAGAAACAACUAAAUUUCCUUGUCAGUUGUGUCUUUAACUAUGACUAUUCAAAAUAGUUUCUACAGUUAACUGCUUAAUGUUGAUGAAGUUUCUGAAAACUUCACAAGCACCCAAAAUCCUAGAAUAUGGUGUCUUUUAGGAGGUUCAUGAAAGAAUGGAAAGGACCUUGAAAAGUUCUCAUGAAAUACAGGUUUCUGAUGACUUUAGAAUCAUAUCAUAUAGACUGGGUAAGAAUUCCUGGAACUUUAAUGAAAAGACUGGUUUGUAAAAUUGCUGACCCAUGUAGAACAAAAAUUAAUUGAAUAUCAAGAAAAUAUUUUGCCAGAUUUUCAUGCUAAAUCAGCCAAUACUGAAGUGGUUUAGAUAUACAAUUUGAAUGAACUCCGUGGUCUAAGUCAAGUUACCUGUGAUAACCUAUCCAUUAUCAGUGUUAUGCACCCAAAUUGGAGAAACAACUGAUAUUCAAAAGGACAUAAGUCUGUUGUUAACUAAACAUGGACUCAUGGAGAACCAGGAUGACCUCCUUGUUCUUCCUGAGUCCUUAAAGCUUUUGUUAUUAAAAGUUCUGCAUUUUAUAACAUAUCAUAAAAAAGAUAAAGUGAUCCAAAUUAAAUAUAUAUUGGUGUGGUGACUCUAAAUUGCUAAAAUAAUUUAUGACCAAUGUUUGGUAUGUCAAACCCAUAUUCCUGGGAAGAUAAGCAAAUCUUCAGGUACACACAGCUAUCUGAUGGGCCAUUUAAACAUUUACAGAGGAAUUUCAUUCAAUUGUCAUUUUUAGUGCAUGUUUUCUGUAUUACAGAUUUCCCUUGCGAGAGGACUGAUAUUAUAGCAGUAGAUUAUUAUGCCACAGUGUAUUUUUAUGAGGUAAAGAAAGCUUUUUAUGGUUCACUGACUCAGGACCAUCAACCCUUUCACAAUCUAGAACCCAAACAUUAGAUUUUCUGAGACCAUUAGAGAGAGACUGCCCUUGCCAUUCACACUGCAGCAAAACUUCAAGACGUGAACCUUGGGUUCAUAACCUCACAAAUGAGAAGGGUCCCUCCACACUCUUGGAAUUGUAUACCCAUUGGAACCCUUAAGGUAAAGCUAACUAGGGAAGCUUCUCCCCAGAAAAAGAUGGCUUCCUUGAUGAGAAGGGCUUUUUCCAAGAUCACGUAUCAAGACUUCUCUACUAUCAUGAGACUCUUAUCUUUGAAUAUUUUUCCCUUGCUUAUCCCUCUAUGAACAAUAAUAGUGAAAAUGGACUCUGUUGUGUGUUCUUAUGGGGUAUAAUUUUAUUUAUAAAGGAUUUUGCAGCGAGCCUUAUAUAUGGAUAAUCUUACAGCCUAAUAGAUGAAAGAUGAAGACCCAAUGUAGGUGAGAAACGUUAAUGGUACAUACAUUGCCUCAUGAUCAGUCAGAAACAGAACAUUGUUCACCCCUCUUAACUCACAUCCUGGGUUAAAGAGAACAUUUCCAGGAGGCCUUCACUCUUCUAGAAGGUCAUCAUUCGGUAGCUCCUUUUUCUCUGAUUUGAAAUAAAAGAAACAAUGAUUAGAAAUAUAUCCCUCAUGAUACUCUCUAUUGCAGAGUCUACUAUAAAGGCUAUGGUUACACAACAGACUUUAAUUUCUCUUGUGAAAGUUAUGCUAAAUAAUAGAAUUGACUAAAUAGAUGGGUGCGGUGGCUCACACCUGUAAUCCUAGCACUUUGGGAGGCCGAGGUGGGUGGAUCACCUGAGGUCAGGAGUUCAAGAAUUGACUAAAUAGAAAAGUAUCUGUGCGGGUGCCAGCACUUUCAGCCUAUGGAGAAAUAGAAAUACAUCAAAUGUAGGUUAUAGAGAUUCAGUUGUAGGGAAUUAACAAAGAGACUGCUUAGUUAAGUGAGUAGAAUCUUCAUAUAGCUAACUUUUGAUCUGUUUGACUUUAGGUAGUUUGGCUUAUUGGGGACCCUGGGUAAGGAGCAUAUUCCAAACUCUUGGUACUAUCCUCCUGAUAGUCAUAAUAGUAGUCUCCCUGGUGGGCUGUAUUGUCUCAAAAGUUUUGCAUGUCUGCAUAAAGCCAUCUCUAGAAUAUCAAAUGGUCUCUCUUCAACUGGAAUGGCAAGAACUGAAAGAAAUGCAUGAUCAUGAGGACACGGUAACCUAUAAAUGACAUGCUGAGACCAGAAACCCAAAAUGAUGAUAACUGAGAGUAGUGCUACGACCUUAAGGUCGCACUCUCACCUAAGUGAGAACCUUACCAAUGAGGGAGAAUUUUUUAAACAAAAUUAUGGGAAGCCAUUGUUUUGGAUUGAGUGCAUGCACUAGGCCCCAGCAGACCAAACCAAAAUGGAUUCAGUCACACUAAAUGUGACAUAAUCAAACUAAAACUUAGGAAACACAGAGAUCCUAGAGCAGACCAGGUUUUGUUUUUCUCCUGUAAACAGACCACUCCAGCAUAAGGAGGUGAACCUCUACUCAGUCCUUGUUCCCAUCUUGCAAAGCUCACUGUUCUACUGUUUCCCAGUGGGUUUCAAAACCAAUGGUGAUAGUGACAUCAAUGACUAACGUUUUGGUAAUCUCUCAAAUUUUAGAAGAUGACCAAGCCUAAACUGCCUUCUUGCAUAUUUUAAGUUCAGCCUAAAGGUUUUCUGUACAACAUGAACUGUAACAAGUGGAGGUAUAAAUAGACCAUAGCCUACACUUGUGCCAGUCCCUGAGUUGUGGCCAACCGUGUUCAAAUAAGGCAAACAGUGAGCUGUACCCAAUCCACUUGUUUCUGUAUCUCGAUUCUGUUUUCUGUACAUCACUUUCCUUUUUCUCUCCAUAAAUCUUCUUCCACCACGUGGCUGCAUUGGAGUCUCUGAGCUUACUCUGGCUGGGGACUGCCUGAUUCACAAAUCGUUCAUUGCUCGAUUAAACUCCUUUAAAUGUAAUUUGGCUGAAGUUUUUCUUCUACAGGGCAUUAAUUUCAUCACUAUUCUCUAGGGAUAUUAUCAUUUUGAUUUUUGUCUUACUUCCAGUGCUUAAUUAGUAUACAAUUGAAUUGUCCUUAGAGGUUCUGAAUUCUACUAGAUCCUACCUGGAUACUAGCAUUUUCCUGUUCGUGUUUCAACUCUGGUUUCCUCCACUUUGAUUUAUCCAUCAAUAUGGUCAUCUUGAUCCUGUGAUGCCUCUUCAUUUAGGUUUAGAUUAGUGUUCUCAACUUAGUCUAUGCAUUGCAGUCACCAGGGGAGCUUUAUAAUACACUGCUUCCUGGACUCCCUUCCCAGAGAUUCUUAAUUCUGAGAGCAGCCUGGCUAAAAAAUCCAAAGUGCAGCCAGAUUGAAAAUGUUGGCCUAGAGCAACUCUAAAAUCUAAGAUGUCAAUGGGGAAGCAACAUGAAGUCUUGGUUACAACCUCUAUGGCUAAAUUACCUGGGUUUAAAUCCAGGCUCUACCAUGGAUUUCUGUGUGACCAUAGGCAACUACAUUUCUCGCACAUCAGAUUUAAUUGGGGUACAAUUCUAAUUUAUUUGUAAGUUGAGGUAUCUAUAUUUUGCAGUAUAAUUAUAAUUAUUCAUAUGGUUGUUGUAUGGAUUCAAUAAAUUAAUAUUAGAUAAUACUUAAACCAUGUUAUAGAAAUAUAAAGUAAAUAAAUGGACCAGCUACAGAACAUUAUUCUUAUCUCUUAAAUUCUUAGCUUCUCACUUUCCAACAGUUUGAACCCUGCCUUUUCUCUGAGUCCAUCAUUCCAUCCAUGGUUUUGUUUACUUUUGGAAUAUUCUAGACUCCAUAGUCCAUGAUUUAGUUCCUUUUUUUGCCAGCAUUCUCAAUUUCCUACCUCUGUGGUCAUUCUGAUGAUGCAAAUCACCCGUUGAAUUAUCCCUCAAUUUUGCAUCUCCACUCCUCAUUUGGACUAUUGAAUGCUGUUGAGACUAAGAUAUCAUUACAUAUUUAUGGGCUAGGGCCAUCACAGGUUCUCAGCACUACUCUGAAUUUUGUCAUGUGUCCCUGGCAGAAUCACUUCUCACAGUGAUUUCUCCAAACCUCUUUUUGCCAUACAAACCGUUUAUUGAGUCUCCUUUCCAUCUCAGGAAACAACUUUGCCUCCUACUUCUUUAAAAAGUUAGAGAUGACUUAUUUGUCUUUUUACAGAUAGAUAGGAGAUUCACUUGGACCCGGGAGGUGGAGGUUGCAGUGAGCCAAGAUCACACAACUGCACUCCAGCCUGGUGACAGAGUGAGACUCUUUCUCAAAAAAAAAAAAAAAGAAAAAAAGCUUCUCUUUGGCUUCUGAAAUUUUUCCUUCUGGUUCCCCUUCUAUGAUAUUUCUUUCCAGUCUUCUCUGUGGAAUUAUUUUCUUUUGUCCACUCAUUUAGGACUGAUGUGUCACAAUUAUGACCUUGCCUUUCUAAUCCUGGGUGUCCCCCUGCUACUUAUAUUCUGAAACGAUUGUGUCUAAACUGUGGUUCUGCAGCCUAGAACUCACCCUGAUCUCUACUUCUUUAACUACAACUACCCAAUAGAGCUUUUCCACGUGGAAGUCCUAAGGAAUCUCUAAAGCUGAAUUCACUUUCUUCUCCCCAAUUUUGUUUUCCUUCAAGUACUACUGAUUUUAGUAAUUAGUGAAUGGUUAUGUCAGUGACUGACUUCCUGGACAAAAAUCUAGGAAUCACUGCUGAUAUCAUCCUCAUGUUCACAUCAUAGUUUAGAUAAGCUCCAAGUCUAGUUGCUUCAACUUCUAUACCCUCUUUUAUCUGCCCCUACAUCCCAAUACCAAUCUGCAUUAUUAUUGUAUUAUCUCAGAAUUUGUUCUUUUAUUCAUCAAGCUUACUAUAAUUGUCUCCUAAUUUAUUUUCCCAUCUUUCUUCUUAUUUCUUCCAAUCCACUCUUCACAAUAGAAUUCUUUGCAAAACUCAUGUAAAAGGAAAUGUUUAUCUGUUUUUAAAAUGAUGAUUAAAUUUGUUUUCCCUUUUGCUUGAUACCACUAUAAAAAGUGAUUUGACCCACUCUGUAGGAAAGGAUGAAACCAUUUCAUCUCCUAGGAAAUGGAGACCAAGCAAUUAUGCUUUGUGAAGAUACAGUCCCUCCUACACUGAAGAAAAAGAAAGCCAAUUUUUCUCAUGCCAAUGGUUUGGACUGUUUAUAGUUUUAAUCCACCAAGAUAGCUAUUGUGACAGAAUAGAAAAGAAUGUCAUUUUUAGGAGAAUAGCAAUCUCUCUGUGUGUAUCUUUUUCCUUUCUUUGUAGUAGCUAGAACAGUGGUUCUCAAGGCAUGCUCCAGACCAGCAUGUUUAUUACUUGGGAACUUGUCAUAAACACAAAUUACUGGGUACUACCCCCAUCUACUGAAUUAGAGAUUCUGGCAACAAGAUUCUGGCAACUUGUGUUUUAAGAAGCCCCCCAGGCAAUUCUGGUGCAAGUUAAUGUUUGAGAACCAUUGGUCUAGAAUGAUAUCUUCCAUAUACCGGGUGUUAAAAAAUUAUUUGUUUAUAACAUGCAUAAACAUUGUUAAAAAGAGAUAGAAGAGCCUUGAAGUUGAUGAGUUGCUAUGAAAGGCACUGUGGAAACCCCUAAAAACCUUGUUGAAUUAGAAUUCUUUCCACAAAAAGACCGUCUUCCUAUGGGAGGGUCUUCAGGUUAAGAGUGGAUCUGCCUCAUCAUCUGCACCCAGAACUUUUCUUUGCAGCAUCUUCUGGGACAGCCCUAACUCCAGUAAUAGCCCCUGGAUACUAGUCAAGGAAUUUGCAAGGAGUUUUGGCUUGGGAGUAGCUGUGAGGAGCCUGAGCUGGACAGGUAGGAGAUGGAUAAUGUUAUUUUAGGUAGCCACCAUUCAUCAUAAUCUUACAUGUUAGUCUGGCUGAGGCUUAAGUUACAUCACAGGCACACUAGCACAGAUAGAACAAAGUAUUUUUUUCCACACCACUCUUAAUACUAUAUAAGACUUUAUUCCCAACAGAAUGGUUUAAAAGGACAGAAAGAAACUCUUCCUUGGUGCUUCAGAUGUCAGUGUAAUCUUCAAUUUAUGAUUAAGACUAGUAGAUAGCAGGCAUCAUAAGCUCAUAAUUAGAAUCAUACAAGAAAUAUGUUUCUUGUGGCUAAUAUAAGAGCAGGAUAGUGAUUUUGAUGUGAUUUUUAUAAGGUACCCCAGUCUGUUGACCCUAAUUGUUUCCCUAAGAGGGUCAUGAAACAUGACCCACAAAUCCAUCCCUCUUCAUUCAUCUUAAAAAAGGAUGACUUCAUAUUUAUAGGAGAGCCCUCGACCUUAGAUGAUGUAGUAAAUAUAGUCAGGGAAAAGCACCUUAUUGCAAUUAGCAAGUUGAGAUUUCAUGAGGGUGCUAGUGAGUAAUCAUGUAAACCUUAACUAGGGAAUAGCAUUAUAAUGCUUCAAAAAUACCAGAUUCAUGAGGUUAAGAAGUCCUGAAGGCAAAUGACAUGUCUCAGAGCCACUAGCCUCCCACUCCCAGGGGUUGAGGUCAUCAACUUUCCAAAACUGAAUUAACAUUUUGGUCUUUGUUCUUAAUGUCUAAGUAUUGUUGAACAAAUCUUUGAACAAGAGAACUGAAAAGCUGGGUAAGUCACCCUCUGGAAUGCCUGUGAGGUUAGUAAGAGAUUACCUGCAUAUACCCUUGCACUGGAGAACUGGCUCAGAGAAUAUUAGCACAAGGAGCUUUAAACAUGAGAAUUGUUAAUAAUUCUACCUGGCAUUAGUGUGGUCUGGGGUUUCUCAGUGAACUUUCCAUUCUAGAGAAACUCUGUUAAAAACUGAACAGUCCCCGAAAUGGUUAAAGACUACUCAAGGUAAAGGAAAAGAAUAAAGUGUGGCUAUUUCCUGCAAAAUAUUUCCUUCCACCCACCUAUCCAUAGGAACUGGUAUGAAACAAAAGUAAAAGAAUGAAAGGCCUUGAACACAGGUAUUUAGGCUCUCUUGGAGUCAGCUGCUGUUGUACUUGGCUACAGGCUGUUGGACAGCUGCUGAGGACAGUGGAUUCUGACAUCUUCUGAGAGGAAACCAACCCAGCCAGUUCUCACUGGUAUAGUUCAGAACACCCACAAUGGGAAUGUGACAGGGAAGGUCCUCCAGGCCCAAUAUCGCUGUAGGACUUGGGGGUUUGAGAGCAGAUCAUGGACCUUUUGUGGACAGCAAGGAAAACAGGUCCAUGCUAGGCUGUGCUGUAAGCUUUAAUUUUUUUCAGGACUACUGGAGCAUCUGAGUGAAGGUAGCAGGGAAAGGAGAAGAGAGUGGGCAUUCUUAGCGGGUCACAGCAAAUUUUAUUGUAUUUCAGAUGUUGUGUGUAAAACAUAUCCAUCCUAAAGACUAACUUAUCUAGGCAAGAAUUAGGCGACUAUUGAGCAAGAAUUUCUUGAGAUGAGAGUGGUUGGUGGUCAGUGGUUGAAGUCAGUAAGUUAUAACUAGAACUUGAAAGCAAUCAGGGAGUCCCACUGUGGUUGGAACCAAGUGUAACCUAUUUAAAAUGCUAGGCCCACACUCUUGGAAGCAUGCAAAGUGAAGACCUUCCACGACUUCCCUUUUCAUGUUCUACAUUUUGAUGUCUACAGAGAAUCCAAGGCACAUGCCUUGACAUCCUAUCUCUUUUCCGGGGGGCUAUAUUUCCCAGAUGUCUCAAAUUAAGCACUAAGCGCUUUGAUUUCAGAGACUUCAGGAUACCCAAGGAGUGAAAAAAAAUGGAGAAUAGAACUUUCAGCUAAGUGUAAUGUUUUCUCUCACCGUAAUUAAAAUGUGGAAUGUCUUCAGGGUGAGAACACAAAUAGAAGUGAAUAACCCUGACUAUUUGAAAUGUCUCAUUUUAUAAAGUUAAGGACCCAAGAAUGAACAAAUAAAAGAGUUGCCAAAUACUGACAUAAUCUCUGAAUCUAUGUAAUUCUUUUAUGUUCCCCACCAUGACCGUGAGUAAGAAAGUAGUUCCAAGAAACCAUCCUAUGACUCUCUACUCACAAAAUCUUCAGAUAUGAAGGCCAAAAUCCAUAUACAAUAUCUAAGGCCUUCUGAAACUUCAAAGCCUAAAACCUCUGCAGCUUUAGCUCUCAUCACAUUUAUAGUUUCCCAGUGUGGCCAGACCAUGAUGAGCACUCAGUACAAAAGCAUGUAAAAUAAAGUCUCCUGGCUGGAUAAUACCACAUCUUUAAAGAACCAUUCAGGGCUACAAACACUCAGCACUCUCCUUCUUCCCCAGACAAAACAGUUACUAUUGUAUGCUUCUAUAAUAGUACCCAUGAAACUUUGAGCUUUUUAUGCAAGAACAAUAUCAUUCCAAUUUGCAUCCUAGGAUGCUAGAACUUAGCAUAGCCCCAGGUAUUCAUAAAGUAAACAGUAAAUAUUGAAUGCACGAGUGAAUGAAUGAAUGAACAAGUAGCCAAAAUGCAAGCAUGUAUAGUGCCUUAGCUAAGAGAACUUUGUAGAACCAAGACCAGGACCAAAAAUUAAACACACAAGUUUAAGCCCCUGCUUUCCUCAAACCCCCCCCCCCACAAAUGCUAUGUUACAUGAAUCCAUUUAUUCUUUGUUUAGCAUUGAAUAUCUAUAGCUAUAUAUAAAGUGAACGCCUGGUGAGUGGGUGGGUGGUGGUGUUCACUCUUGUUUAGUGGAAUGUGAAUAUGUCAGAAUAACAGAAAAUAGAAAGAAAGAGGUUUAUUCAAAGCUGUCAGUUCUCAUGCCUGUUUUAAAAAUCUGAGAUGGUGCCUAGAUAGUUCAAAUUUAAUAUUCAUAUCCACUUUAUCAUAUCAAAUAUGAUCAUUAGCAAACAGUGUUUGAAUGGUAGCUGUUUCCUGACUGACAAUAGCCACCCGGUGGUAUCCACUUUCCCAUGUGCCUGGGACUGAUACAGUUCAGAUAGUCUGGAAAACAGUGGGAGGAAGGAAGUAAUUAAAAAUAAAGGGGAAGCUUGGGGCAAAGGAUAAACAUCAAUUUUAUCUCACACAAGAAUAUUCCUAUAUUUGUUCUCUUAAAAAUUAUAGGUGGAGACAGAAAUACUAUUUUUAAACCUAUUUUAUAUCCUCAAACGGGAAUGUAGUCUUGCCCAUAGAGGGUCAGGAAAUCCUGAGGAUGGGCACUGGUGUUCAAAAUAAGCUGACAACUGUAGGGUUAGAAAACAGAAAGAAAUUAGCUCUAGAAUACCACGGAAGUGGAUGAAGCUAGAAAAGCGGACAGUGGUACUAUUAUAAAUUCAGAGGCCCAAGCAACAUUUUAUAAUAGGUUGACUGCCCCCAUCCACUCAAAGAAACACUUCACUGUCACCAGCAAUACCUGUACCAUGUUGGGCAGGGGACAGGGGUGAGUGAGUAGGAGACAGACCUGGCUGUCAGGGUCUGUAAGCACUGUAGAAUCUUCAGGCAGCAGCUUUACCCAGAAAGUUCGAAGAAAAGGUGUUCAGCAAUAAUUUAUAAACACUAAAGAACCAAAGUAAGAAUGCAUUCUUAAUUUUAGGACUGGUUUCAAAAACUGUCCUGUUCAUUACAUUCCUAUCCAACUUAUUUUGAUCAUUCACCUAAAUUAUGUUUCCCAGACAUCCCCUACCUCCAGUUAGGUGGGUCGUGCAGUGAGUUGUGGCCAAUUGAAUAUGGAAAGAAGUGGUUGAUGCCAUUUUCCAGGCCUGGCUCAGGAUCACCUACUGUCUCUUUCCUCAUCCAUAGACUGAAUGUGGAGGAACCUGGGACUCUAGAGAUGGAAAAUGCCCCAAGACAGAUAGAGUCUAGGUCACCUUAUAUGAACUACUCAUAAGGCAGCCUACCAAACAAGAGGGUCCCUCCCUGCAGCCAUUUGGAUUUUAUGCCCUUCUACAAAGCCAUUGAGAUCUGGAGUUUAUCCAUUACAAUAGAGAUAAAGCUGCUGCUUCCAACCCUUUCACAAAAAUGACUCAGAUGGUCUCAUGUACCAUGUCCUCCCAUGGCCUCUGUCACUCUCAGGAGCAUCUUCUUGACAUUCCCUCUCCCAUUUGGAGCAUACAAGCCAACCGUUUAUUCAGAAUGUCAAAAACUCAUUUAUGGCUAGAAUAGCAAUGACAUUUAAAUAGCCAAAGAAUCAACAGAGUAAUUUUUGGAGAAAAGGUAUGAAGAAUUGAGGGAACAUGAUGAGCAAUGCUUUUAGUCACCAUGGCGUUCUUUUAUUCAUUGAUGCACACAUAUAAUUUCAGUUAAAGUGCCAGGUCCAAUUGCAUGUAGCUUUCCCUGUGGUUCCUGAAAGCACUGUGAUUUUACUAGCAUAAUGGAGAUGUUUAAACAGCUUUGGGCUCUCAAUUUUAAGCUGGGAUGUUGAAGUGAGCUUAAUAAACAAAUAAAUAGAUGAAUAAUGAACCUUUGUAUGCUUGGAGUAUAAUCAUAGGAUGCUGGAAGUUCAUUAGGGACUGGGGAGCAAAUAAAAAUGGGACUCUGGUGAGUAAAGAAUUUCCUCAAGAUCCUGUUGCAUAUUUGAAUCUUAAUCUAGCUACACAUUCCGCUUUUUUACCCAUAUAAUGAAUUAGAACGUAGAACUCCAGUCCAGAGAAAGAGUAACCUAAAAGACUGAUGUUUUCCCCAGGUGCCUUCUGCCUAUCACUUGCCUUCAAUUUAGCUUCUUCUAUUGCUUCUAUCUAAAAAUAAAGAGGAAAUUCUUUUUUCAGAAACUGUGAUUCCCUGGCUUACUGUGUUUCCUUACUUUUCCAUCUCUACUCUGGCAGCCCUAGCCAUUUAGUAAAUAUAAAGAUAAAAGUUCAUUUAAGAGCAGAAUCACUCGGGAUUACAGAGUAAAGGAAACAGGUGUACCUGCCCAUGCAGUUGAGGGAACUAGAAGGAUGGUCUUCAACUAAGAGAUCCUCACUGAACGACUUGAGGAAAGGGAAAGGAACUCUGUCUACUCAAUCUUGCCUGGAGUAGCUGGUGAACUGUUAGAAACAGAAAAACAUACUGCAAGUUCCUCCUUCCUAUCUAAUGUUCAGAAAAAUUCCCUAGUGUCUUGAGUGGCCCAACCCCCAGCACAGCAUGGUAAUGGUCAUCAAAUGCUAAGCCAUGUUUUCACCGGUACCUCUUCUCUCCUUUCAUAUAUAUAUUUUUUGAACUUCCUUUUGGAUUAGGACUCUUCCUCCCCCUGCCCAUUCAUGUACCUCAUGUCUAUUGUUUUCUAGAAGGUUUCCUACUCACUACUUUUAUCUUUUUUCUCAGAGAGACCCUAGACAAUUGUUUCACCCUAAGGUGGAGGAAAGAUCCCUGGGUGACAGUUUGAAGAAAUAUUUUCCAAGACAACAACCCAAUAUAAGUUAUAUUAUAGCUUACAAGUAUAUUCACUUCCCUGGAAGAACCCCAGCCUACUGAUAUCAAGCUCAGCUGUAUGAUGCGCUUGAGCUAAUACAAUGUGAGCAUACAUGAUACAUGCUAUCACCUUCCAGAAGCUUUGGAAGGCACUGUGAAAGUCUGCCAGUUCUUUUGCUCCUGCCUCCUCCUAUGAAAAUGGCAGAUCUCACAGAGAUAUUUCUUCUUUAUUCUGGACCCAGGAAUAAAAAGACACUUGGAGCAGAGCCAAAUGGAAUAAAGCAGAGACAAAACAUCUGCAGCCACCACUAUAUAAUGUAGUCUGUUGUAAGCCUCUAGGAUUUGGGGUUUCUAUAUGAAUGCAGCAAAACUGACUAAAAUAUCCCCUGACUAGAGGCAUUAGAAAUGGAUUUUGUGAAUGACAAAUGAACUUUAUUGGGUUAAGCCCCUAAGGUUUUUGAGUUAUGUUAAAACUACUAUUACCCUCGUAUAAUAAUUCCUCCCCGCUUUCAAUACGUUAGAACACCCAUUAGCCCCUCAAACAGAAGAGCUAUAAUGACAUAAAAGGGAAAUUCUCAAGAUCAUAAAACUGGGUAGGAUUAAAAGGAUCCAGUUUGAAAUUUCUCCAAAAAGCUGGACAGUGGUGAUCAUCCACCACCCCCAUUUUCUGUAAGUCGUCACAUUACAAGCAGAGAAUAGCAGUGUUAGCCUCUAUCUUUGUAAUAGCCACAUAGAUAAACUUGAAUUUUCUUUUUACCUUUACCCUAAUUUAUUCCCAGAUUUGCUAGGUA